CAGGGCAGAUGAGGGGAUCAGAUGAGGGAGGGACCCAGACCCAUCACUGCUCAGAAGCCCCCAGCAGCUCCUCACUGCACUCGGAACAAAGUCCAGUCUCCUCUGCAGCUCCCAGGGCCCUGUGUGAUCUGGCCCCUGGCCGCCUCUCCAGCCGCAUGUCCUCACCCACUACACUCCAGCCUCACAGGCGGGGCUGGUCCCCACCACAGGGCCUUUGCACAUGCAGGUCUCUCUGCCUGAAACGCUGUCCCUCCUCUGUUGGUCUCAGUGCAAAUGUCGCCUCCUGAGAGAGCCCCUCCUCGACCACCGCAUCUAAAUGUCUAAAGACAGCUCUCCCCCGACCCCCGCCUUCCCUCUCUCUCUGUUCUUUUCCUUCUGAACACUGAGCACACUGUGCAUAUGUGUGUGAGUAAAGUUAUAUAUACACAUACACACACCUGUAUGUAUACUGUGUGUGUUUAUUUAUUUAACUUUGCGUGUUCCCCAUCCCCCCAUUUCAAGGGCAGGGACUAAGGAUGGUAUACUCUGUGAAGGGCACACAAUGGUGCUCAGUAAAUGGUGAAGUGUGAAACCCUAAGAUCCAUAUCUGGAGGAGAUCUAAUGUAGUUGUUCCAUUUUUCACAUGAGGAAACCAAGGCCCAGACAGGGAAAGUGACUUUCCCAAGGUCCCCCAGCAGGCGGGAUCAGGACUGGAGCCAGGUCUCCUGCCUCCCCCUGCCCUUCCCUCCAUCCCACACAGGUUGGCAGCUCUGAGACAGCUGGAAGUAAACCCUGCAAUUCUACGUCUGCAGAGAUUCUUACAGCAGUGGGCAAGGACAUACGUGCAAGGCGUCUUUGCAGCCUCACUUGUUAUAGAGUGAAAAAUAAAAAUCUAGGUGUCAUCGAUAAGGAAUUGGUAAAAUAAGUCAGCUUAUGUUCAUACAACGCACAAUACUAUGCAGCUGUUAAAAAGAAUGGGGUUGUUCUCUGCGUGUUGACGUUGAGAGGAGCAAACAAGGUGCGGGACCGUGUGUUUAGAAUGUUCCCAUCUAUCCAUGUUUAUAUGUGUGUAGAAAAAGUCUGUCAGGAUAUGCUCCAAAAUGGCAAAGGUGGUUACCCUGAGAAUAGGACUUAGGGAAAAAGGGGAAGAGCUGUUGGGGUGGACUUUUACUUUUACUUUUGCUUUAUAUAUUUUUGCACUGUUUUCUAUAAUGAUUUUCAGUUUUCAAAAAUCAAUGGAGCACAGACAGGUGGAUAGAAAUGUGAUAAAGCAAGGAUAGGAAAAGGUUAACAGAAGAAUCUAGGUGGUAAGUAUACAGAUGUUCUCUAUAAAAGUCUUUCAACUUUGCUGUAAGUGUGGAAGCUUUCACAAUAAAAUGUUGGGGGAAAAUCAGUGAAACAAAGAAAAAGAACUUUCCAGAGAGGUCAUGAUGGGAAGCCUGGCGAAUGGUCCUCCCACGCUGAGACUGGCAGGUGUGCAGGUGGUGUCUCCAGCUGGGGACAGUUACAUCUCGUUGAACCCAUUGACGCCCCCCUGGACCUGCUCAGGACGGACCUGCAGGAUUCUAAAGGCCAACACGCACUUUGCCCUUUGUCCAGGCGGCCGCCCUCAUUCAGCUGCUGUCACUGAGAGAGCUGGAGCCCUGGCCGGAGACUUCUGGCCAGUCCAGAGGGAGCGUGGGACUGACCGUCAGCACCCCUGACCCUCCCACUGUCCGCCUGGAUGGCCACACAGCCAUGGCCCUCCAGCCGGGCUCAUUGGUGCUGCGGGGGCCCAGCAACACCUCCUCUGUUUCCGUUUCCUGGAAACUACUUUCAAAGGCCAUGUUUUCCUCAAAAAAUCAGGAAUUAGAACUCCAGUUCACU